rnacentral:ncRNA from 2 species
CCCUUAGUAACGGCGAGCGAACCGG